CCUACGGGUGGCUGCAGUAAGGAAUAUUGGUCAAUGGAGGAAACUCUGAACCAGCCAUCCCGCGUGAAGGAUGAAGGGGCUCUGCCUUGUAAACUUCUUUUGUCUGGGGCGAAAAAGCUCGAUUUAUCGAGAACUGACGGUACCAGAAGAAUAAGCACCGGCUCACUCCGUGCCAGCAGCCGCGGUAAUACGGAGGGUGCAGGCGUUAUCCGGAUUCACUGGGGCGUAGGCGUGCGUGUGAGGCAGAGUUGAAGGGCUGUGGCUUAACCAUGGAAGUGCCAUUGAUACUGCAGAGCUUGAAUGAGGUUGAGGUUGGCGGAAUGUGACAUGUAGCGGUGAAAUGCUUAGAUAUGUCAUGGAACACCGAUUGCGAAGGCAGCUGACUGGACCUAUAUUGACGCUGAGGCACGAAAGCGUGGGGAGCGAACAGGAUUAGAUACCCGGGUAGUC
rnacentral:rRNA from 1 species